GAUGAACGCUGGCGGCGUGCCUAAUACAUGCAAGUCGAGCGAACGGACGAGAAGCUUGCUUCUCUGAUGUUAGCGGCGGACGGGUGAGUAACACGUGGAUAACCUACCUAUAAGACUGGGAUAACUUCGGGAAACCGGAGCUAAUACCGGAUAAUAUUUUGAACCGCAUGGUUCAAAAGUGAAAGACGGUCUUGCUGUCACUUAUAGAUGGAUCCGCGCUGCAUUAGCUAGUUGGUAAGGUAAGGGCUUACCAAGGCAACGAUGCAUAGCCGACCUGAGAGGGUGAGCGGCCACACUGGAACUGAGACACGGUCCAGACUCCUACGGGAGGCAGCAGUAGGGAAUCUUCCGCAAAGGGCGAAAGCCUGACGGAGCAACGCCGCGUGAGUGAUGAAGGUCUUCGGAUCGUAAAACUCUGUUAUUAGGGAAGAACAUAUGUGUAAGUAACUGUGCGCAUCUUGACGGUACCUAAUCAGAAAGCCACGGCUAACUACGUG
rnacentral:rRNA from 1 species